GAGCGGGCUGAGCAGCCGCGUAUCCGCUUGGCCGGAUAUGAGGAAAGUCCGAGCACCACAGGGCAGGAUAACGGCUAACGGCCGCCGGGGGUGACCCUAGGGAAAGUGCAACAGAGAUAUACCGCCGCAUUCUGCGGUAAGGGUGGAAAGGCGAGGUAAGAGCUCACCGGCGCAUGGGAGACCAUGCGGCCCUGCAAACCCUAUCCGGUGCAACGCCGACUGAAGCGAUCCAUCGGCCCGAUGGGCUUCGACGGGCGGCUAGAGCCGCAUGGCAACAUGCGGUCGAGAUAGAUGGCUGUUCACGACAGAACUCGGCUUACAGGCCCGCUCAUC
rnacentral:RNase_P_RNA from 1 species